rnacentral:rRNA from 2 species
UACGUAUGGUGCAAGCGUUAUCCGGAUUUACUGGGUGUAAAGGGUGCGUAGGCGGCAUGGCAAGUCAGAAGUGAAAGCCCGGGGCUCAACCCCGGUAGUGCUUUUGAAACUGCUGAGCUGGAGUACGGGAGAGGUAAGCGGAAUUCCUAGUGUAGCGGUGAAAUGCGUAGAUAUUAGGAGGAACACCAGUGGCGAAGGCGGCUUACUGGACCGUAACUGACGCUGAGGCACGAAAGCGUGGGGAGCAAACAGG